UGCAACCUACCUUGAUCAGGGGGAUAGCCUCUCGAAAGAGAGAUUAACACCGCAUAACAUCAUUUAACGGCAUCGUUGAAUGAUCAAAUAUUUAUAGGAUCGAGAUGGGCAUGCGUGACAUUAGCUAGUUGGCGGGGUAACGGCCCACCAAGGCCACGAUGUCUAGGGGAUCUGAGAGGAUGACCCCCCACACUGGUACUGAGACACGGACCAG
rnacentral:rRNA from 1 species